UUUGGGUCCCUGACAGCAAGUAAAACGUCAAAGCGCUUCGUAGCGAAGUUAUUGAUCUCUUAGAACCAAAACUGAGAAUUCGUACAAUUUGAUGUUAUCAGACGCAUUUUUUUCAAAUAAAAUUGUAGUGCCCAAAUUAUGCAGCGCCUAAUUCGGGCCGUAGGACGUCCCGUGUUCAAACCGAAUGACGUGAGGAGAUUUUAUGCAAGAGGCCGGCCGCCAAAAAAACCAAACCUAUCGCAGCAAAAACCAGAAGACAGCAUAUUCGCAAAGAUUGUAACAAGACAGAUUCCAGCCGACAUUGUGUAUGAAGACGACGCGUUUAUAGCAUUCAAAGAUAUCAAAAGUCCAGUGGCGCCGGUGCACGUAUUGGUGAUCCCUAAAAAGCCCGUGUCGAGCGUCAGCUCGGAGCUGGCCCAUCCUAUGCUCUUGGGAGAGUGUGUGGUAACUGCAAAAAAAGUUGCCGAAAAAGAGGGUAUCGCAAAGACGGGGUAUCGUCUGGUUAUCAAUGAAGGUGCAGAUGGCAUGCAAUCUGUGCCGUGGCUGCAUGUUCAUGUUAUUGGUGGAAAAAGGCUUUCUUGGCCUCCUGGUGUUUGAACUUUUUUGUUCUCGAAGAGCUGAGUACACAUGCCAAUUUUUAAAACCAAUGCAAAACGAAUAAUAGAGCCUACGAUUACUCUAAAUAAACGA